AUUGAACGCUGGCGGCAGGCCUAACACAUGCACGUCGAACGAGUGGCGGACGGGUGAGUAAUGUCUGGGGAACUGCCCGAUGGAGGGGGAUAACUACUGGAAACGGUAGCUAAUACCGCAUACCAUCGGAUUUGCCCAGUUGGGAUUAGCUAGGAGUUGGUGUAAUGGCUCACCUAGGCGACGAUCCCUUGCUGGUCUGAGAGGAUGACCAGCCACACUGGACCUGAGUCACGGUCCAGACUCCGACGGGAGGCAGCAGUGGGGAAUAUUGCACAAUGGGCGCAAGACUGAUGCAGCCAUGCCGCGUGUAUGAAGAAGUCCUUCGGGUUGUAAAGUACUUUCAGCGGGGAGGCGGUACCAGCAGAAGAAGCACCGGCUAACUACGUGCCAGCAGCCGCGGUAUUUC
rnacentral:rRNA from 1 species